rnacentral:lncRNA from 1 species
CCAGUGGGAACUGAGAUUGUCCCAGAAAGGAAAUGGAAGCUCUGUUAGUUAGACAUUUCUGAUAAGGAAUCUGUGACCAUUGCGGAUUGGAAGCAAAAAUAUAUACUUCCUUACGGGAAGAACUUGGUUUAAAUUGGGAUAUUUCUGAAGAGAAGAAUCAGUUUCCCAAAUGGCAAGUCCUGGACCCAGAGAAGUCAUGUCCAGAAGUGCCUAAUGGAAAGAAAAUAUUCAGACUUCAAGCCAACAGUUGUUCCCGGGAACAAUACCUUCCUGCAAAGAGGAGCCCCUGUCAUGAUGAACCCGUUGCUUUAGAGUAGUGCUGUCCAAUAGAACUUUCUGUGAUAAUGAAAAUGUUCUUUUUUAAAAAAACAAGACAAAACAAAACAAUUUUUAUUUUUGGUUCAGGGAUUCAUGCGAAAAUUUGUUACAUAGGUAAACUCAUGUCAUGAGGUUUGUUGUACAGAUUAUUUCAUCACGCAGGUAUUAAGCCCAAUACUCAAUUGCUAUCUUUUCAGCUCCUCUCCCUCCUCUCACCCUCUACCCUCAAUUAGAGCCCCGUAGCUGAUGUUUCCCUCUUUG